rnacentral:tRNA from 1 species
GUUCCCGUGGUGUAGCGGUUAGCACUCAAGACUCUGAAUCCUGCAACGGGAGUUCAAAUCUCCCCGGGACCU